UGGGUCAACUCAUGUUUACAAAAUACAAGGUAUGGUAUGGAUGCAGUAAUGUGGUUGGGACUUGUCCUUGCUUAACAUUGGGCAUUGCAGAAUUCAGACAGUGCUUUGGAAAGAAGCUUAGUUCUCCCUCUGCUGGACAUUUUGAGAACACGGAAGAGUGGAAAACCAACUGUAGAUUUCAGUCUAAACCUUUAGACUUUUCCUUUCAGAUUUUCUACUAUUGUCAUCUGUAGUUUUUAUUGCUGGAAAUCUGACGAGUGAUCAUAAUCGCUUCUCUUUCUGCAGCCUCAAAUGGACGAGAAGAUCCAGCUUGGCCCCCAGGCUCAAGUCAUAUUGGUGAAGGCUAGCAGUAAAGGAGCCAAGGCCAGUGACUCAGGGCUGCAGUCCAGCCCUUCACCUCAACCCUCCAACGCUCCUACACAAAACACAGACUCUGACGCAAGGAAAACUCUGUGAAGCACAGGCAGAAAGUGAAGAAAGCGCGGAAGGCGUGGCCCUUAAGUCCGUCACGGCCUUCUUCACCUGGCUGCGGGAGGCGGAGCAGGAGUCUGAAGAUAAUUUAUGAGGGGAGACCCCAGGGGGACAUGGCGUAGUAGAACUACGUGUGCGUGAGCAGGACGACAUGUUUACGGGUGGAAUUUUUUUCUGCGGUUGGGUUCUGAAACAGGCCGCCAUUUUGAGUUUGGAUUCCAACAGCGGAAGUGCUAAAUACCUGUAUUAGACAUAGAUAAUGUUUUUGUUUAA